rnacentral:lncRNA from 1 species
AAUAGUUAUCAAAAGUACCAGGAUUAUAAUUUUAUACGCCAGACGCGCGUUUCGUCUACAUAAGACUCAUCAGUGACGCUCAGAUCAAAAUAGUUAAAAAGUCAAACAAAUACAAAGUUGAAGAGCAUUGAGGACCCAAAAUUCCAAAAAGUUGUGCCAAAUACGGCUAAGGUAAUCUACUCCUGGGGUAAGAAAAUCCUUAGUUUUUCGAAAAAUUCAAAGUUUUGUAAACAGAACAUUUAUAAAAUGACCAUAUAAUUGAUAUUCAUGUCAACACCGAAGUGCUGACUACUGGGCUGGUGAUA